rnacentral:lncRNA from 1 species
CUAUUAUGAUCAAAGUUAUUAUUCAAGAGUUAAUAAACAGUUAUGAAGAAGGAGGAAAAUGGAUCUACAACAGUAAAAAUAGUACAAUAAUUUAUUCAAAUGCCAAGAUGACAAAGGACAUAGAAGAACUACCUAGAUGGAUUACUACCCAUGCAAAUUGGAAAAUUACACCAACAACUAAUGCAUUAAGGACUUAUCCAAAG